rnacentral:rRNA from 1 species
GACGAACGCUGGCGGCGUGCCUAAUACAUGCAAGUCGAGCGGACCAAAGGGAGCUUGCUCCUGGAGGUUAGCGGCGAACGGGUGAGUAACACGUGGGCAACCUGCCUGUAAGACUGGGAUAACAUCGAGAAAUCGGUGCUAAUACCGGAUAAUAAAAAGAACUGCAUGGUUCUUUUUUGAAAGAUGGUUUCGGCUAUCACUUACAGAUGGGCCCGCGGCGCAUUAGCUAGUUGGUGAGGUAACGGCUCACCAAGGCAACGAUGCGUAGCCGACCUGAGAGGGUGAUUGGCCACACUGGGACUGAGACACGGCCCAGACUCCUACGGGAGGCCAGCAGUAGGGAAUCUUCCGCAAUGGACGAAAGUCUGACGGAGCAACGCCGCGUGAGUGAUGAAGGUUUUCGGAUCGUAAAACUCUGUUGUUAGGGAAGAACAAGUGCCGUUCGAAAGGGCGGCACCUUGACGGUACCUAACGAGAAAGCCACGGCUAACACGUGCCAGCAGCCGCGGUAAAG